GAUCCGUGAGUUAUUAACAAAUCAGCCUGAUCAUUAAUAAGAUCGAUUUCAGUCUUCAGAUGCGCCCGUGCAGAAGUACUUCAGCCCGUCUAUGGUGCAGGAUCCAUGGAAAAAUCUGCAGCCCGUCACCACCAUGGAUGCCGCUGCGGCCAGGCGGAUCACAUGACUGGAAAUAACACAAGUGGUGACCACAUGACAUCACCAGCAAUGAUCAAUAACUGUGAUGAGACGAACUGAAGUUUUUAGUCAGAUG
ensembl:lncRNA